GCUAUGUAGCUCAGUUGGUUAGAGCAUCGCACUCAUAAUGCGGGGGUCACAGGUUCGAAUCCCGUCAUAGCCACCA
rnacentral:tRNA from 1 species